rnacentral:rRNA from 1 species
AUUGAACGCUGGCGGCAGGCCUAACACAUGCAAGUCGAACGAGUGGCGGACGGGUGAGUAAUGUCUGGGAAACUGCCAGAUGGAGGGGGAUAACUACUGGAAACGGUAGCUCAUACCGCAUACCAUCGGAUGUGCCCAUAUGGGAUUAGCUAGUGGGUGGGGUAACGGCUCACCUAGGCGACGAUCCCUAGCUGGUCUGAGAGGAUGACCAGCCAGACUGGAACUGAGCAACGGUCCAGACUCUUACGGGAGGCAGCAGUGGGGAAUAUUGCACAAUGGGCGCAAUCCUGAUGCAGCCAUGCCGGGUGUAUGAAGAAGGCUUUCGGGUUGUAAAGUACUUUCAGCGGGGAGGCGUUACUCGCAGAAGAAGCACCGGCUAACUCCGUGCCAGCAGCCGCGGUAAUUC